rnacentral:misc_RNA from 1 species
AGCAACAUGUUUUCUUCCUCGCAGUUAAUUCGAACACGGUUGUCGCAAUGAGACUUCAGCGUCAAUGAAACCGAAGAAACAACACAGUAAUUUAAUCAACCAUACCAUCUCUUGACUUUGCUUUCAGAUAUACAAGAACAAGAGACUUUUCCUGUGCACAUGGGAUGGACCCCUAUUUAAUUCUGCUCUGUUCAAUGAAGAGUGUUGGUAAACGAAGGGAGAUGUGAAAUGGUUGAACGCAUGGACAACCGUAGUAGACGCGUCAGGGGAAGACCAUCAUGUUGUAGAAAAUGGUUCCAAGUGGCGGUGACCUUGUCUUGUUGCUCAGGUUGAG